UACGUAGGGGGCAAGCGUUGUCCGGAUUUAUUGGGCGUAAAGAGCGUGUAGGCGGCUAGAUAGGUCCGUUGUGAAAACUCGAGGCUCAACCUCGAGACGCCGAUGGAAACCCUCUAGCUAGAGUCCGGAAGAGGAGAGUGGAAUUCCCGGUGUAGCGGUGAAAUGCGCAGAUAUCGGGAAGAACACCCGUGGCUAAGGCGGCUCACUGGUCCGGUACUGACGCUGAUGUGCGAAAGCGUGGGGAGCAAACAGG
rnacentral:rRNA from 1 species